rnacentral:lncRNA from 1 species
GCAAGCAUGAAAGCCGCCUUCAUUGCUACUUUUCUUGGUAUGAACAACUGCUCGCUUCACAAAAGCAACUAAAAAAAUCACCUGUAAUAUAGCUAAUUUCCAUAUUCUAUUUAUCCAUUGAGAUUUUAAUUUUUUUUACUUCUUAAAAUAUGCAUGCACAACUACUCAAAGCAAAUAUUUUCAACAAUCAGCAAGAAUAGUCAAUAAUCCCCAAAAUCAAUCCAUCAAAAAGACCACCUCCAAUCCAGCGAAACAUGCUAAAAGAAAAACUAAAAAGUAUACAGAUGAUACCUUUCCUGAGGGGGUGAUGGGCUA